rnacentral:lncRNA from 1 species
GCUCCACCAACCUGCAGCGGGUGUGUAACACAGCACACCGGCUAAGCCCUGGUAGCCCGGAACUCUUCUCUUGGAAAAAGUGCACUCGGCCAAAGUGGUCUCAAACCCCUGACAGCGCACUUGCAAGCAUUCUGUGGAGUUUAUCUGGAGAUCUUCAGAAUAAUGAAACCUUCCCCGAGUAUCAAGAGCACCUCUGGAAGCAGCAAAACGAAACGUGAUGGUAAAAAAUUACUACUUGCAUUUUACUGUCAUACUGUAGGAGUGCUUAUGUGGCAACGGCCAUGCUACCCGUCAUGUGGAAGGCCACUCAAUCCUCACACCCACCUUGUAAAGAUGAAGCCCGCCUUGUCUCCAUUUUUUCACAGGAGGAACCUAAAUCUAGGAGACGUUAAAUUCCCGGCCCAAGUGGUGAAGCCAGGAAUUGGAAGCUGCUCUGUUAUCUCACUGCAGAGUCUUAGAAGUAAGUCACUUCCGGAAAGGCCCGAAGGGUUUGUGUGUUCUCCCACAUUCAGUGCCUGAGGAGAGGGCUGGCACUGACAGACACAGGGCCUAACUCUUGCUCUUCCCCUGUCAUAGCCAGCCGAGGUGGGCUAAGUGGAAAGCUUUAGUUCUCUUUUUACCUCUCCAUCCUAACUCAGCAUCAGAAAACUACACAGGCUACGACUGUGAGCUGGUGGCUCGCAGCACCUUUAAAAAGAGCACGUUAAGCAUUUGCUUCUCUGACAACUUGAUAGCGGAAGGCAGUGGUGAGCCUGAGUUUUGCUCUUAUGGCUAAAAUUUAAUAAACAUUUUCUUUGUGUCAAGGACUAGGCAAAGAACUUUAUCUGCAUCAUUUUAUUAACUUCCACAAGAAUUUUAUGACUUGGGAACUUUGAGCAUUCACAUUUGACAGAUGGAAGAACUGGGGCCCAGCGAUUCCCACAGCUGGUCAGUAACAGAGGUGGGCAUGGAGGAGAUGGAAACUGAGAACCUAAUCCUGUGCCUCGAGUCGUAGCCCCUCGUUCCAUAGGCACCUAUAGGGUACAGGCAAAUUUGCCUGAUGUGCCAAGCUGGCUAGGGGAGCAUGCCUAGCUCCGGCGUCUCUCAGCCCCUCAGAUACCCAGGGGCAGCCGGUGCAGGGAUGGGGCCGAGGGAAGAUGCUGGAAGAAACACUGGGGGCUGGGACCCAAAGGCUGAGCGGACCCAGCCCUCCUGUGUGACUAGCCUGCCAAGGCCUUCUCACUGACUCUGAACCAGCUGGGCGGUCCCGGGGAGGGGCCCUUUGACAACGCCAAAGGGCAGCAGUGAGACCUCAGAGCCAGGUGCUCUGGGCUCAUGGCUGGAUUCAGGUGACUCCCGAUUUCUUUAGUUACCACUUCAGUUACUGUUGAGGUGUCAAGCAUUUUGAGUCAUCAUCCGAACAUUCCACAGCCAAGGUCUUUCCUAAGAGAAAGGCUGGUAUACAGUGGCCCUCUUAGGUCACAACAUAACAUGAUAAAUAGGCUGUUCUACCUUCAGCUGUGCACGUUCCUGUUAUUUAAAAACUUGGCCUCUGGACGAAGGCAUUCAAAGCUCUUCAGAUGGCAGUACGUUGGAAAGCUUCUCCCGUUGGUUGAACACACGGAGGUGCCGUUCUUGGGGCACUGAUAGGGGAGUUUGCAAAUACAGGUCCCGUCCCACGCACUUCUCCCACGGCUGGCAGAAGACUUUGCUGCAGGAGCGAUGUGUGUAUUUGUUCAAUAAGCACUUGGCAUCCACCAGGUCCUCCUGAGGGGCGGCUGGCGCUGAAGGGAGCUAUAAAACACAAAAGAGCCAUCGGCUUAGCAGCAAACCCAAAGCUGCUUUUUCAAACACAGAUGAGGAUGAUGGGGUCCGGUGGUUUUAGGAACCAGACAAACCUGGCUUCUUGCCCCAGUUUGGGUCAUAUAACUUUGGGAAAGUUACCUCAUGAACAUGGUUUCCUCAUCUGCAAUUCUGCGAGGUAAUUAUAAAGAUUAGAAAUCAUAUGCGUCAUGCGAUGGUUGGCAGGUGCUACGUAGGCAAUUAAUGGAAGCUGUUAUUACCCUAAGGCCAACAUAAAAUUAUGCCUCCAAAGAAGUCAGUGAAUCUCAGCAGUCAUGUUAAGGAGCAACACAUUUGGUGCUGAACAUGUCUUAUGGAAUGCAUUUGUUUUUCUGUUAUUAAACACAAAGCCAUUUUUUGAGCUCCUACUAUACGUAAAGUCUUUCUAGGAUGGACAUGAACUGGUCUCCACCUCCAAGGACUUUCUUUCUAGGCAGUAAGGCAGGACCCACAUACUAGUAGGACACUGGCAGAUGGUGGUGAGUGAUGUAACUGGGGUACAAAAGCAGCACAGUAGACUUAGGGAAACAGGGUAGGAGAGUGCGUGUGCUAGUCCCGCGGAACGAGGCCAGGAAGGACAGGUCUGGCUGUCAGGAUCCCGUGUUUGCCACAGACAGGGGAGGGCUGAUGCGGAACAUUUCGGGAGUGGGUACAGUGAUGGGACUCAGCAGUCUAAUCCAUGUGUGGGCUGAAGGGGACCCUAGGUUUUUCACGCUGAGUGAACGAGUGAUGUUUCUUUCACCGACCACAAGUAUUAAAGGACUGCUUGAUCUACUGCAUAUAAAGCCUUAUCCUCAAAGCAUUAACAAUGAGUAAAAUAACUCGAUUGCAUUUGAAGAGAGCUGACCAUUUGAGACCAUUUGCACUUAAUGCUUGUCAGGGUCCCAGACACUCACUAGAUAUAGAACACGAUGUUUAUAGUGUCAGCCUGCAACUUCAUUUAUAAAAAGGCUGAAGUCAUUUACAUGGAAUCUUGUUCUAUAUACUACAUGCCAAUCUGUAUGUAAGUUGUAUAGUUAGGCACUUUAUAAGUUUUUCAUGAAAUAUAUUCCACAUAAUACAGAAAUAUUGUUCAUACUGAUGAGAAUGAAAUUUGCAUUGAGCAGAGCUUUAGGUUUGCAAUUUAAAAAUUUUUUUUUGAGCAGAGCUUUAAAAUGAGUGUAAGUAGCAGUAAACAUUUUCUUUCUGCAACCUGUACUUAUACGUUCUUCCUGUAAACUACAUAAAAAUAUUGUAGUGAAUUUUGGUGGUGAUUUUAAAGGUUUUGAUUAGGUCAAUAAUUGCUUAAGCACUGUUUAAUUCAUGUUGAAAUAUCUUUACUUUUAGUUCUGAAUAUCUAAAAACUCAUUUAAUUAAUAUGCUAUUCUUGAUUUAGUGGUAUUCUCUAUUCAUAUUUUUGGUAUUUAACCUAGUUAGUUUAGGCUCAGUCAUAAUAGUGGAUAGAGUCUCUGUUAUUUCAAGAGAUGUUAAAUAUUUAUACGCUGUGUUGACUAGCUCAAAUGUGAAUUCUGUUAGUGUUGCUAAAGAAGAAUCUGGUAGUUUUUUUUUAAAGAAUGUCUGAAAUAUAGUCUUACAACUAAUAUCAUAGUGGUGAGCCUUUCCCUAUGUGUUUAUUGUCCUUGUUCUUUACUAGGUAUCUUUUUUCAGCUAAUAUGUCCUUAUAAUUAAAUAAAAAAUUUUGAAAAGUAAUGAAGUAUGGUUAAUGACAUUAUCCAACGAAAAACUCAGUGGUCCAAUUAUUAAAACAUUUGUGUUAAAAUUUUGGCUUAAAAAUGCAAAUUUAAGUGUGUUUACUUAUAUAGCAGCCCAUUUAUUUACAUAUGAAUAUAUUCAAGGAUACUGGGAGCAUUGCUCAAAAUGUUUUGGCAAUUAGUACUGUAGCCAAUUUGUCUACUAAGCACGACCCCACUCCUUUAGGUGCUGCUGCUGUGUUGUGCAUGAGGACUUAAGAAAAAAAACCUUUCCUUGAUAGCUGUAAUGAUGUAGCAAUUACACUUCUGUGUGUUUCUCUAGGCAGGAGUACAAGGAAAGCAGUUUAGACAGUUCCUAGAAAACGAAGAAGAAAUCAAACAAUCUCCUAUUCUAUGCCGUAUCAACCCUCACGUACAGAUAAAUAGCUUUACCUCAUGCUUCUUUGUCACCUGGUUUUUCCAAUGUUUUCCAUAUUUGCCCUAUAAACGAGAGGGGAGAAAAGAUGAUCAAGUAUGACCAAAACAAGAAAAGCUCCCCCACUUUCCCCUCUCUAUGGACAUUGUUGGGGAGCCCCACUCUGCUGCGAGCUCUGUGUAAUCUUGGUAAGGGGCUGUCUUCCUCCCUCCCCCCUCCCUCCCUUCCUUUGUUUCUUCCUUUCUGUUUUCUCAUCUUGUUUUUAAAAUUUACUUUAUGAGUCCACGUUUGCAGUACAUACUGACCACAUUCAUAGAGAGGUGUUGGUACUUGUACAUAAUACUUAAUUCUGACCCAUCCUGCUUUUGUAAAACGUGGAAAAUAAAAAUAAUGUUCUCACAUAGUUACUUUGAGGAUCAAGUGAAACAUGCAGGAGAAAGCAAAGAGACAUUUAAGAACUUAUAUUGGCUGAGGAUGUAGCUCAGGGCUAGAGUGCUUGUAAUAGCAUUCAAAAGGCCUUUGGUUGAAUUGCUGGCACUACCAAAAGAAAUUCCAUCUAGAUCCUGUAUAUAUAUAGAUGCUGCACGAACGCUAAUAUGGUGAUGAUUCUGGCAGGCAGCACAAAGCCCCACGUCUUCUACCCUCCCCUCAGUCCAGCCGCUCUCUGUGCCUCUCCCUGGGGACCAGGCUAUGUCCUUAUCCUUUGCCUCUGGACGGAAGGGAUCAGAUGUGACACAGAGAUGCUUGGACGCUGCUCCUUCGACCAGGACUGUCUCCGGUAUCUGUGCACAGCUGUGAGAACGUGGUUGGGUCAGCAAAAAGCAGAAGGGAAGAACCACCCUUCCCAGCUGGGCCUCCUCCGUCAGCUGGUCCUGGCCGACCUGCAGGCUGCAGUCUUGCCCUCCGAGAGCUGGUGGUGGUUCUGUGAUGGCAUUAACCAGCUGGGGCAACGUGGCUUCCCAGAAGAAAAAGUGGAAAACUCAGAAAGAGUCAACAGGAUAGAACUAUCCGUCCACACGGAGGAAGCGACUUGGAUCCCAAGAGUUAUCAACCAGUCAGAACCUGUUUCAGGGAAGAGUUUGAGGCCUGGCUCCCUCAGCCCCUCCGCAUCACGGUGUUCACUAGUAAUUUUGUCUCCUUCGGACCUGGAGCAGCUCUGCAUGGGACACAAGGCUGGCCCGAGACACCUCACAGCAUUACCCAGCGACCGCUCUCUUCAGAACAAAAUAAAAGGCAAAUAAGAAGGGAAGGGGAGGGCUGGGGAUUUAGCUCAGUGGUUUCGCCGCCUGCUGCACAAGCGCAAGGACCUGAGUUCGAUCCCUGGUACCAAAAAAGAAGGGAAGGGGAUCAAGCGAAGAUCAAGCGAAGGAAGACUGGGGUGGGAAGAGAAGGGAACGGAAGGGACAUAAAAGGAUGUAGGAUGUGUUGUGUGCACGCACCAAUUCCCGACGACGACGAUGAAUGCAAUCGUUAUGCACUGCAAAUGUUUGCUAAUAAAAAUUUAAAAGAAUUAAAAAAUAGGCAGUGAAUGUUUUUCUAUUAAUACCUCACAACGAGUUGUUCCAAUUCACACAAGAAACUUGAUAGUUUUUUUUAUUGUUUUCAUGUCUUUGGUUGUUUUUGAAAUCAGCACCUCCCCUUCCCAGGAUCAGGAUGUUGACAGAAACCUCGGACAGGCUCUUGUGCACUCAUGCCAAGACUUUCUAAAGCACUGGAAAGACUGCUUUGGGAUCAACUAUCAUUUUCCCUCACAGAUUACAAAAACCAUUGGCCUGGUUUCUUGAUCUUGUUUCUUUUCAUAAUGAAUGUGAGAUGUCUGAAAUUUUAUUUUCUUUAUUUGUAAUUGCUUGUUUUAAUACAGAAAACAUAGCGAAAUGUUUCAACAGGCUCAGAAAAGUUCCUGGGGAGUUCCAUCUCCUCUCAAGCUACCCAGCCCACUCGGAAGCAACCACUUACCGGUUCCUGGUGCAGUUUUUAGGUCCAGCACUGUACAGGUGAGCCCCUAUUUCUCUCUCUACUCCCCCCAAACCAGGGACAUUUACAACUAAGGGCCCCAUACCCAGCCCGCCAAAGGGAAUUAGACUGUUUCCAAUGUUUUCCUAUUAUAAAUAAUUCUAUAAUGAAUUCUCUAUGUAAUAUGUAUCAUUUCCCACAGGUGCUCAGUAUAUUUUCAGAUUUGCCCGGAAGCGGAAUUGCUGAAUCUAGGGAAUGAGCGUUGUAAUGCUGGAGGACAGAGCCUAGUUUUUCGCCGCAGAGGGCGCUCCAACUUGCACCCUCGUCCUCCAUAGACAGUGCGCCUGCGCAGUUCUCACACAGGGACCGCAGCCACCGUUCGACCCGUUAAGCUUCUUUUAUUGCUGUCAAUUUGAUAUUAAAACUCCCAUUGGCGUACACUUUCAUUUGCAUUUCCCCUUAUGAAUGUUGUUGAAAAUCUUUUAAUACGGCAUAAAUUUUAAGAGAAAUUUUUAUUUCUCCACGUACUAGCCAUAAUCUUUUUGGUGUAAUUAGAUCCCUUUUCUUUCACCUUUCUUUCUUUCUUUCUUUCUUUCUUUCUUUCUUUCUUUCUUUCUUUCUUUCUUUCUUUCUUUCUGUACUGGGCAUUGAAUCCAAGCACUUCACACUAAGCAAUAUCCGCAGCCCUUUAUUAAUUUUAUUUUAAGUUUUGAAACAGGGCUUCACUGAGACACAAAGUAGCCCAGUCUGGGCUGGAACUUGAGUCUUUCCUGCUUCAGCCUCCCAGAGCGAGGACUAUAGAGCAACAUUUAAACUUCUGCAUCUGCUACUCAAGCUCAGGAAAAUGGAAUAACUCGAGUUUGAAGACAGAGCCCACAGCCAGCUCGGAAAGCUCCAGUGCAUAAUGGGCCUGACAUCCCACUCCUACGGAGGCUGAACUUAGCGUGUGCUGCGUCCACGCCCACUCACAACACGAGGUCGGUGCGGGAUGCGUCAUUUGAGGAAGUGCUCGUGCUGCUUACGUUCCCACCCGCAGCAGCCGUUAACCGUUCUGUCCACUACACCAGCUGCUGACAGAGGGCUGCUUAAAUUUUAAAUUAAUUAAAAUUAAAUUAAAAGGAAAUUCUGUUUCCAGCCAAGUCAGAGAAAUAGGGACCAGAUGUACCCUCCAGCCUAAAACAAUCAACAAACAAACAAAAUAGGAGGCCUUGGUUUUCAAGACACAGGACCUCAGAGAACUCGGCACUCAUGGGAGAGAGGAGCGCACACAAGAAUCUGGCCUCAGUAGCAGGGAAUAAUUAGCUCCAGGCUAAGCCCUGUUCCUAUCUUACCUGAGAAAGCUGGAGGGCAGGACCUGAAAGGGUCCAGUGUUUCCAAGCAACUGAACUGCAUCCCAGAACAAAGCUUUGUGUGUUUGCAGGAACAACAACAAAAACACACGGCAUUUGAUAAAGGAUUGAAGAAAAAUUUAUUUUUGGAAGACUUCAAUGGAAAGAGGCUCCCUUUUUUCUUUAGGUGGAAUAUUAUUAUAUGGAUUUAAAAUGUUUUUCUUCUACACAUGAGAAAGGGAUUCAGACUAUUUAUUUUUAAGUUUACUUUUAUAAAUAAAUUCAUUUUCAUAAAAAAUGAGUAAAUUUUCUCAAUUUUGAAAUUUAGAAAAAUGAGGAGUAAAAAAUAAAGUCGUCAGGAUCCAAUUAUCUACAGAAACCUUUUAUUUGAUACAUACUGUAUUACUUUUGUUGUUGUUGACACCCACAAUUUAAAUGAGGAGAGGUUUAAUUUGGCUCACAGUUUCAG